AUGCCGGGCAGCAGCCCAAGCCAGGGCCCAGCUCUGCCAGGAAGCGCUGGAACAACACCGCCGCGUUCUGCGCCCGGCCUCCCGGCAGCAGGGCCCGAGCAGGCGCGGAGCCCCCUGCGGGGCAGGCUCAGGGCCCCUCCGAGGGGCAGGAACGCGGCCCCUCCGUGGGGCAGGCUCAGGGCCCCUCCGUGGGGCAGGCUCAGGGCCCCUCCGUGGCAGCUCCUCCCGGGAGCCUCCUCGCGGCCUCCCGGCGCGUGGCCGCUUCCCAAGCCCUGGGCCGGGGAGGAAGGAAGGAGACUCCCGGUGGCGCAAGAACCUUUCUGGGGGCCCCAGCCUCGCCCGUCAGGCUGCCAGCACAAAGCGUUUGCUGCUGCCCCACACAGCGCAGCAGAUCUCUUCCAGGCGCCCGCCAGAGCGGCCGUCGCAGUGCCGGGCAGAGCAAAGCUGCGGGGCCGGCGGCACCGGGCUGCGGGGGCAGGCACCCCCCGCAGAGCCCGCUGCAGGAGCCGGGCCCGCGGCCACCGCCCCUCCGGAGGGCGCAGCCCCGGCACGCGCUGCCCCGCAGCCGCCGGCACCUCCGGCCAGCCCCAAGGCCCAGGCCCGCGGCAGCGCCCUGGGGGGCGUUCCUCCGGUGCGCAGCCGGUGCCUCUGCGGCUCCCGGGGGCUGCGCUGCCCCUGCCCCCGCUCACGGGAGGGGGCUCCUCGGCCCCGGGGGGCCCCCAGGAGCAUCUCGGGAAGGAGCCCGGGCUCCCCUCGGAUCCCCGCGGGCCGCAGGGGCCCGCAGAAGACAGCGGGGACCAAACCGCUUCCCCCCCGUCCGACAUCCGCGCUCGGCCGCCUCGGGUCAGCGGUUCCUCCUGGAUUUCCUCGGUAUUUUUCGAGCGGCGCCCAGGAGCCGGCAGCAGCGAGCGCAAGAGCCCCACCUCGUGCCGCGCAGAAGCACUGCUCGGGAAGGCACCCCGCCUUCAGACAGACAACGGCAAACGGCGGCGUGUGCCCAGGCCGGAACCGAGACCCCAGGGCAGCAGCGGCAGGAGCCGGUCGGAGCCUCCUAGGGCAAGCUCCCUGCCUCGGACGUCCGUGGGGCCGCUUCGGGGACCUCGGGGGUGCUCGCACAGGCACGGCCGUGCCGCGGGGGGUUCAGGCGCCCCCCCCGCUUCCUUCGUUCCCCGUGGGCACGGGAAGGCCGCGCAGCCACCCGGCAGCCCCCGGGGAUCCCAUCCGGCCAACAGCCGUCCCUGCGGGUUACCUGCCCCCGGCUCGGUUCGCCGCCCCGGGUCACCGCGGGGCUGCACGGGCUGCGGGAACAGGGAGCACCCACUGCUGGCACCAGCGGGGCCGCGCGGCUCCCCCCCCGCGUGUGGUGGCGGCGCGAGGCACCGGCUCACGGCGGGGCUGGGACCAGGGCCGGGUGGGCACGGAGCGAGGCAGCCAGGCCCUGCCCCCCGCCGCUGCCCUCGGGGCCUCGGGGCCAGGGGAGCUCAGGCCCCGCCGCCGCCUCUCCGCGCGAGGCCCCGCCGAGCUCCCGCCUCGCCCCGGGGGCUGAUCCCGGCACCGGCUGCCGCCAGGCGCCCCGCAGCCAGCAACGCGGUUCCGGGCUCUGCUCGCGGCUGA
ensembl:lncRNA